rnacentral:rRNA from 1 species
GGGUCAUGGCAUGUCUAGUAUAGCAUUAUACCGUGAAACUGCGAAUGGCUCAUUAAAUCAGUUAUCGUUUAUUUGAUAGUACCUUACUACUUGGAUAACCGUGGUAAUUCUAGAGCUAAUACAUGCUGAAAACCCCAACUUCGGGAGGGGUGUAUUUAUUAGAUAAAAAACCAACGCCCUUCGGGGCUUCUUGGUGAUUCAUGAUAACUUAACGGAUCGCAUGGCCUUGCGCCGGCGACGGUUCAUUCAAAUUUCUGCCCUAUCAACUUUCGAUGGUAAGGUAUUGGCUUACCAUGGUUUCAACGGGUAACGGGGAAUUAGGGUUCGAUUCCGGAGAGGGAGCCUGAGAAACGGCUACCACAUCCAAGGAAGGCAGCAGGCGCGCAAAUUAUCCAAUCCCGACACGGGGAGAUAGUGACAAUAAAUACUGAUACAGGGCUCUUUUGGGUCUUGUAAUUGGAAUGAGUACAAUUUAAACCUCUUAACGAGGAACAAUUGGAGGGCAAGUCUGGUGCCAGCAGCCGCGGUAAUUCCAGCUCCAAUAGCGUAUAUUAAAGUUGUUGCAGUUAAAAAGCUCGUAGUUGAACCUUGGGUCUGGCUGGCAGGUCCGCCUCACCGCGUGUACUUGUCCGGCCGGGCCUUCCUUCUGGAGAACCUCAUGCCCUUCACUGGGCGUGUUGGGGACCAGGACUUUUACUUUGAAAAAAUUAGAGUGUUCAAAGCAGGCCUUUGCUCGAAUACGUUAGCAUGGAAUAAUAGAAUAGGACGUGCGGUCCUAUUUUGUUGGUUUCUAGGACCGCCGUAAUGAUUAAUAGGGACAGUCGGGGGCAUCAGUAUUCAAUUGUCAGAGGUGAAAUUCUUGGAUUUAUUGAAGACUAACUACUGCGAAAGCAUUUGCCAAGGAUGUUUUCAUUAAUCAGUGAACGAAAGUUAGGGGAUCGAAGACGAUCAGAUACCGUCGUAGUCUUAACCGUAAACUAUGCCGACUAGGGAUCGGGCGAUGUUCUUUUUCUGACUCGCUCGGCACCUUACGAGAAAUCAAAGUUUUUGGGUCUGGGGGAGUAGGCGCCUGC